rnacentral:misc_RNA from 1 species
GAUGAAGAACGCAGCGAAAUGCGAUAAGUAAUGCGAAUUGCAGAAUUCCGUGAGUCAUCGAAUCUUUGAACGCACAUUGCGCCCCCUGGUAUUCCGGGGGGCAUGCCUGUCAGAGCGUCAUUGCUGCCCUCAAGCACGGCUUGUGUGUUGGGCCCCGUCCUCCGAUCCCGGGGGACGGGCCCGAAAGGCAGCGGCGGCACCGCGUCCGGUCCUCGAGCGUAUGGGGCUUUGUCACCCGCUCUGUAGGCCCGGCCGGCGCUUGCCGAUCAACCCAAAUUUUUAUCCAGGUUGACCUCGGAUCAGGUAGGGAUACCCGCUGAACUUAAGCAUAUCAAUAAGCGGAGGA